rnacentral:rRNA from 1 species
AGUGAACGCUGGCGGUAGGCCUAACACAUGCAAGUCGAACGGCAGCACAGUAAGAGCUUGCUCUUACGGGUGGCGAGUGGCGGACGGGUGAGGAAUACAUCGGAAUCUACUUUUUCGUGGGGGAUAACGUAGGGAAACUUACGCUAAUACCGCAUACGACCUACGGGUGAAAGCAGGGGAUCUUCGGACCUUGCGCGAUUGAAUGAGCCGAUGUCGGAUUAGCUAGUUGGCGGGGUAAAGGCCCACCAAGGCGCCGAUCGGUAGCUGGUCUGAGAGGAGGAUCAGCCACACGGGAACUGAGACACGGUCCAGACUCCUACGGGAGGCAGCAGUGGGGAAUAGUGGACAAUGGGCGCAAGCCUGAUCCAGCCAGACCGCGUGGGUGAAGAAGGCCUUCGGGUUGGAAAGCCCGUUUGUUGGGAAAGAAAAGCAGCAGGUUAAUACCCCGCGGGUCUGACGGUACCCAAAGAAUAAGCACCGGCUAACUUCGUG